UCUGGACAGUUACUGUGGAGCUAAGUAUAAUAAAUAAAGAAAAAACAUGCAGCUGUAUCCAUUGAUUGUUUGUCAUGGUUGCUAAAUAUCAAUGAACAUGUUCAGAAUUGGGACGCACAGCUCUAGCCAGGAGGCGCCCCAUGGGGCGCCCCAACCACUAGUCUUCUUCAAAUACGGUCCAGCUCCUCAUUCCUUCAGCAUCCCUCCCACACUCUAUCUGCAUCCUGUGUUCGGCUUUUCAUCCAUCCACUCCUUCCCCACUAGAUCGACAUGGAUCUGUUGCUCCAAUCUCACUCUGACCCAUAUGGAUUAAUGGAUUUGACGAUUUAUAAUGUAUUUCUUUCAGAUUUUCUUUUGUUGCCGGUAGGACUUUUUUUUGUUUACCUACAAAUCUUAUUUGACAACUUUAUUUAUCAUGACAGGUUCUAAAUCGUAAAAAAUUCGAAUUUCUCACCUUGCAGCUUUGCCGGAAGUCAGUAUAAUACUCAACAUCUGGUAUGUGAGCCCAAAUUCCUCUUUAUGGCUUCCUAUUAUGUGUGCUUCGUUGAGUUGAACUGCAGGUGUGUCGAUGAUGUCAGUAUGAUCACUAUAUACUCAUGAAAAAAAGUAUCAGCAGAUAUCGAAGACACAUACACAGAUUAGGUAUUCGUGUGUAUAAAAUAAAUAUCUUCAGGUGGGAGCUAGAUUGUGACAUCUACGUUGGAUCAAUCGACUGUGCAAUGUUUUACCAUGUUUGAGUUCACUACCUUUCAUUAUUGUAGUGUUCUCUCCGCAGUGUACUCUUCAUCAAACUGUAUUCUAUAGUUGAUGUACGGGAGAGCUAUCUACUCAACUUUGACUGAUUUCCUUGCACUGUUUUGACGAAUCAUAUAUUCUCACUUCCGCAGAUA